GAUGAGGGAGGCUAGGCGGGCGACGGCUACGAUGCCGAACUGUCAUUGGAAGCAGCGAAGUUCGGUGAGAUUCCGACGCUGUCCCGCAACGGUGAUGUCGCGAGGUUGGUGUAGCCAGCGUCGCGGUCAGCCCGGUCGCCUGCUCCGAUGUCGCGAC
rnacentral:ncRNA from 1 species